rnacentral:lncRNA from 10 species
UUAAGAGAGUGUGGUCUAAAGAUUGGGAUUUUUAAGUGCCCCAGCUGGCCAAUAGGACAGAAAUGUUUAAUUCAGGGCAACUUUCCUGUUACCCUGAACCAAACCGAGAUAACUGACUGCCUUCUCUUUUCAGGCAUUCAUUUACCAGAAGAACAGGGAAUGAGCAAAAGAAAUUCUCAAAGAAUUUUUCUUUUGAUACUUACCCACACUUCCUGUGCUCUGAGUCAGACCACAGAAAUUGACAAAUAUGUGCAGAACAUCUUAGAGGAAAAAUGAGAAAUGAAGACAGAUGUCAAAACUAUGUAGAAACACAGCCGGCCAUCUUCUUAAAGACUCACUUUAACACGAAUAACAUUUAACUCCAUCGUCAACAAAACCGAACUUCCUAAAAAAUAAUUCAGCAUGGAUUUCUAUGAGCCAUGUUGACUGAAGACAGAUAACCUGGCAGAUGUGUUGACUCCAACAAAACAAGGCGAAUGUUCUCAGGUUUUGGGUAUUGUGUCUCUCUGAGGUGAUAACCACAGAGCGAGUUUCUCUGCUCUUGGUGUGAAGCAGUUUCAAAUUGUUGAACCCCAGGGUUCCUUUUACCUCUGGAUUCUUCAGAAUUAUGGCAUGCAGUGUGCUCAUAAACACUAUCUGAUCUCUUCCAAACACAGUUGAUCUCUCCACUGCUGGAUGCUUCCAUUUUAUCGUUCGUCAUCCACAACCAGUCUCCAUGGGGUAAAAUCAGCAAGAGACUCCGCGUGAUGUGUUCCCUUGUCUGCAAGUGGCCACAUUAAUAACCUUUUGAAGGGCUUUUUUCAUUUCCACUCUCUGGGAGGAAUUUUUUUAACCACUCAAGCCUUGGGGUCUGUUUAAACAAGAAAUUGUUUUACACUCCUGAAUGAUGCAUUCCUCUCCAGCUAUUUCUACAUAACUUCCAGGAUAUGAAAACCGCCCAAGGCUUUCCAACAUGGCUGCUUUCUUUCCUCUCAUAAACAAACUCAGCAGUAAUCAUGCCAUUGUGGUCACUCUGGGGCUUUGCAUUGCUUCAACUUUUUCCCUCAGUCUUUUGUUCUGCCAGACACUGAUUAUGACAGUUCACCCGAAUCUGGAAAGCAAGAAUGCACUCUUCUGCUGGUCUCUGGCCUUUAGCCUUUUCCUUUGUCCUCCAUGAAUAUAUGAGGCCAACAGGAGGGAUCUAGGCUCAGUAUGAUAGGCUCAAUAAUGGCUUACUGAGAUGUCAGGUUCUAAUCCCUGGAAGCUGUAAAUGUCACCUUCUAAGGAAAAUGGCUCUUUGCGGAUGUGGAUUAAGCAAAUAAUUAUACAUGGGAAGAUCAUCUUGGAUUACCUGCAUGGGCCCUAAAUGCAAUCACAUGUGCCUUAUAAGAGGGAGGCAGGGAGAAAUUUGAUACAGACAGAAAAGGAGGAGAUAAUGAGGCCAUGGAGGCACAGAGUGGAGUGAUGUUGCCACAGGCCCAGGAAUGCUGGCAGCCUCUGGAACCUGGGAGAGGCACAGAGCAGAUUCACCCCCAGAGCCUUCAGAAGGACCAAGGUCCUGCCACCACCUCAAUUCUAGUUCAGUGAAAGUGAUUUUGGACUUCUUGUCUCCAGAACUGUAAGAUAAUGAAUUCCUGUUGUUUUCAGCCACUUUAGUUAUUACAGUAGCCACAGGAAACUAAAAUGCUUGACCACCUGCAUCUGACCUUCAACAUCUCCAGCUGCAUGCAUCACUGCUGCAGAGCUCAGAGCAUCCCAGCACACACCUCCUAUGGCAUUCUUGAGGAGGUGCUGAUGCUUUUCCUUCCUCAAUUGAUCCAGAGAAUUAACAAACUUCUGUGGCAUUCUGAUGUUUUGAGAGCAAACAUGAGGAAACAAAAGCCCCAAAGGAAUAUUCAAACAUGACUUCUUUUUUUUUUUUUUUUUUUUUUUGAGACAGGGUCUCACUCCAACACGGCUCACUGCAGCCUCAACCUCCUGGGCUCAAGGGAUUCUCCUGCCUCAGCCCAUCAAGUAGCUGGGACCACAGUUGCACCUCAUGACACCUGGCUAAUUUUUUGUACUUUUUGCAGAGAUGGAGUUUCACCAUGUCGCCCAGGCUGGUCUUGAACUCCUGAGCUCAAGCAAUCCACCUGCCUUGGCCUCCCAAAGUGCUGGGAUUGUAGGCAUAAGCCACUGCGUCCAGCCGGAACAUGACUUUCUGAGCUCCACUGUAGGCUCCCAGUAAAACAUCCUUGCACCAAGCUCCCGUCUUCUUAUUGAAGCUGAAAUGUUACACAAAAUGUCUUCAAGCCACUAAACAGUCAUCAUGAUUUUAACUCAUCUGUUUGGAUUUGGACAAGUUACUUAAUUUUUCUGGGCUUCAAUUUCUUCACCCAUCUCCCAGCCAAAGGAAGGCCACUUUUCUGAGCAAGCUGGACAGUCUGAGAGGCAGUUCCUCCAGCUCUUAUGUUCAUGAAGUUGAGCUUUGGUCAGGUGGGUCUCCACACGUCUUCUCCAGCACGACAAUCCUUCAGGUAGCUGAGAUAAGGUUGGUAUAACCAGCACAACCCCAGAAAACCAUCCUUAUUGGUCAGCGUUCUCCAGAGAGGCAGAACCAACAGGAUAUGCAUACAGAGAAAGAGAAAGAUUCAUUUUAAGAAAUAGGCUUGCACAACUAUGGAGGCUUGGUGAGUUAAAAAUUUGAUGGUGGUGGCCGCUAGGCUAGAGAUGCAGGGAAGUUGCAGUUUGAGUCUGAAGGCAGUCUGCUGGCAGAAUCCGUUAUUGCUCAACAAGAUGGAAUGGGGGUGGUCAGUCUUUGCUCUGUUAAGGUCUUCAAUUGACUAGAUGAGACCCACCCACAUUAUAAAGGGAAAUCUGCUUUACCCAAAAUCCACCAAUUUAAGCAUUAAUGUCAUCCAAAAAACACCUUCACAGAAACAUCCAGAAUAAUGUUUGACCAAAUAUCCAAGUACAGUGGCCCAGCCAAGUUAAAACAUAAAAUGAACUACCACACUUUCCCACCAGACGUACAAGUCUUCACCCCCUCCACUUGUUUGCACUUAUGAAUAUCCCAAGAAGAGCAGGAGAGGGUUGUCUAUAUGGGGUGACCAGGGAGAAUGUAGGCAAUGUCUAUGGCAUCACUACAGCUAGGUGACCAACAGGUAAGAUGAAGGAUGCUAAUGAAGAUCUCACUAAGAUCCACCGAGCUGGAAUCAAGAGAAGGGGCUAGGUCUGCGCAGAUGAAGCCUCCCUUUCUCUGAAGCUCCUGGGCAUGCAAAUGAUGCAUGGUUUUUCUGAAUUUUGUUUGUUUGUUUGUUUGUUUAGCUAUCAAUUGCUGUGAAACAAACUACCCAAAACUUAGUGGCUGGUCUCUCCCAACAACCAUUUUAUCAUUGCUCAUGAUUCUGCGACCAGGAUUUCAGACAGCACACAGAGGGUGGCUUGUCUGUGUCCCAUGCAAUGUCUGCCGAGGCUAGAAUGUCCAAGAUGACUUCUUCACUCAUACAUCUGGUCCCUCAAUUAGAUCGGCUCAAGUAGCUGAAGGCUGACAGAGACACUUUAUGGGAGUCAGAAGUCUGUAGCCUCAAUUCUCACAGUUGGCUGGGUUCUUCAGUCUCCACGCAAUCUAUGGGCUUCUCUCUCUCCACAAAGUUCGAUCCUUCCAAGAUACACAAUCAGAAAUGGCCAAACCUUCUUAAAGCUGAAGUCCACACCUGGCACUGGGUCCCCUCUACCAGCAUUCUAACAGACCUCAUUUUGUCUUGAAGAUCCUUUCUUACUUCCAAAGGCAUUUGCACCUCACACUCAUUUUUCUUCCAGUACUCUCACACUGGAGUUGAUAGCCCAUUAGACCCAAAAAUCUUCCCCAAAGUGAAACUAGUUUCCCUUUCCUUGAGUUGAGAAGAUUUAAUAUCCAAAUUUUCCAGAAGGUUUGGAAGGAGAUAUUGCAUUUCAUUUUCCUUAGAAGCAUGCAUUGUUAUGGAUAUUGGGACAUCUGGACAUUCCAUUGUCAUAGGAGUGUGUCCUUGCAGGUAUCAUCAAGCUGUUUUCUGAACUGUAAACAUCUUAGGGCUGUGGGUUGUGACCAGCAAGGAAUGUGCCUUAUUAGUGUCAAGAUGGAGCUGAACUUCAAAUGACGUGACUCUGACUCUCCUAUGCUCUUGUUUCCCUAACAGUCUGACAAGGUUAACCUUCAAGGACUGCAUCAGGAAUUGGUCACAGUGCUUAGCAACAGGUUCUCUUCACUCUUGUCAUUUACAUAUAGACGACAGCUAAUAUUCAAAUCCGUGUAGGCAAACCCACAGUUGAUUAAAUUAAAUCUCUUCUCUAGCUUGAUUUGCAUAACUUGAAAUAAUCAGAAUAGAGAGUGAAUGCAUAAUUGAAAAGAGAAAAUACGUACUGCAGCUAUUUGAAACUAGAUGUCGUUGAAUUAAGCUUGUAAAUUCUGAUAGUACUGAAUGUACAACUGUUCUAGGCUAACUUUACAUUUGAAAUGUUAAGAAAUGUGAGUUGUGAACUGGAAAGUUAAUUAACAAACAAAAUCUUAGAAUAUUGCACUUUGUUAUGGCAGCCCUAGAAAUAA